GCAGUGGUGGCUCAGUGGUAGAAUUCCUGCCUUCCAUGCGGGAGACCUGGGUUCGAUUCCCCGCCAGUUCG
rfam:Loxodonta africana unplaced genomic scaffold scaffold_83, whole genome shotgun sequence.